GCUACAACAGAGGAUCCUCAAAUUGGAGAGAAAAACAACAUGCUCGUCCAAAACCUCAAAAAGAACUUGCUCCCAAAAUACUACUAGAGUAGCAUGUUGACCGCAGGGAAAGGAUCGUCAGUAGCGGGACGAUCCGUGGGUACGGCCAACCAACCCCGUAACGUGAGGCCGAAUGCGCCUCCACUGGUGGUUGCGCCCCUAUCUGCGAAUCCUCCUCCUCAUGAGUAUGUUCCUCCGCCCGAGAACAUACGAUGUAUCACGGUGUCUAGAAGAGAAUUUCAUUUGAUUAAAGCGUUGUUCGGGCACAUGAAUUCUCAUCCUAAUCGCGGGUGGAAAGGCGCAUAUGAUCCUCCUCCAGUACAGGAAGAAGUUGCUGGAAAUGCUGGUAACCCGGUAGAAGAAAAAGUACCUCCUGACAGGCGCAAUGUACUCCCCAAUCUCGGUUUGCACUGAGUCAACAUGAUAUGAAUUCGGCCACAAGGUAAAUCGAAGGGCCUUAAUUGAUGAAAAAACCAAGGAUCUGCAUAGCAAGAAGGGGUCCUUUCUUCGUCUUCUAUUGCGUUUUUUUUUCUCUUUUUUUUUUUUACCCCUUUCAAUUAUGUAAGCAGAAAACUAUCGAACAUCUUCGGUAAUAAGUUUAUCUAAUGUGGCCUUGUUGCCUAUUUUGCAUUGA